UCUUUCGGGAUCUCAGUCCUUCUUGCCCCUCCUUCCGUGAUAAUCCUCCUGCCUUAUAGGAAGGGAUGUGAUGUAGAUGUCCUGUUUGGAGCUGAGCGCUCCAGUCUCUGACUUUUCUAAGUGUUGAGCAGUUGUGAGUCUGUAUUAAUGGCCAUCUGCUGCAAAAAGCUUCUCUGAUGAGAACUGAGAGAUGUACUAAUAUACGGGUAUAAAGUGUUGGGGAUGGAACACAGGAUCCUGUACGUGUGAGGCAACUGUCGAACUUCCGAGCUUUCUCUCUCUCCACCUGUAAUAUUUCAACUCCAGCAGGGAUGUCCGGAGCUGAAAGGAAGCCCUAGUCUGCCUCCCCCCAGAGUCUACUGCUGUCUCCACAGCCUGUCUUUGCAGUAGUUAACCUGCCUCAUUAUGAAGAAUCAAGACUAGUCUCAGUACACCAUCUUACUAUUUUUGCAUCUCCAAUUUAAAUUUCACUGGCAAUAAAUAUUAAAAUAAUGAA